CACGUAGGGCGCAAGCGUUGUCCGGAAUUACUGGGCGUAAAGCGUGCGCAGGCGGUUCUGAAAGUCAGCUGUGAAAGCCCCGGGCUUAACCUGGGAACUGCGGUUGAAACUACAGGACUAGAAUCUGGCAGAGGGGGGUGGAAUUCCACGUGUAGCAGUGAAAUGCGUAGAGAUGUGGAGGAACACCGAUGGCGAAGGCAGCCCCCUGGGUCAAGAUUGACGCUCAUGCACGAAAGCGUGGGGAGCAAACAGG
rnacentral:rRNA from 1 species